UGAACCUAUGUCUCGAGGGCCCUUGAGGCCGUUUUAUCCGGCCCCUGAUAUCAUUAUAAUGUUUUGCAACUUCACAUGAAAUAGGCCUAUGACAUAUUUUGCAGGCCUAAAGGAAUCUUAGAAAUUACAUUUCCAAUGCAAUUAAGUUAGGCCUAUAUUCAGGGGACCUAGAAAAGGUGGGGACUGUUUUAAAUGUGUCUACCUUUAAAGGUGUCUAUAUGUCUAUAUAGGCCUAAUGGUGUCUAUAUAUGCCUAAAUUUCAUGGGGAAAUCCUGAUUUGUGUUCAUAGUACGGCCCCCGGAGGAUUUUAUGACCAUGGUAGGAAUUUGAAGUGGCCCUUCGAAUGAAAAAGGUUCCCCACCCCUGCAUUAAACCUUUCUUCUAGCCACAGCUCUGCUGUCAGUACAUUUUAUUAUGAUACUAUAAGCUCAGAAAUGAAGUUGAUCAAACAAUUCGAUCGGUGCUAUAAACAUUUAAAUGAACCGAAUAGAAAUCAGAAUAGAAACAUCUGAAUGAUCUUUCUUGGACAUAGCCUACAUUUUGAAGUGACCCUUUGAAUUAAAAAGGUUCCUCACCCCUGCUUUUGAGGAAAAACAUCAAUGUGCUUGGCCACUCUGGUUUUUAAAUUACCGGUAUUCUGAACUAGCAAGGAUUGUUCAAGGAAGUUCAAAACAGACUGUCUCUGGUUAAAUUAGUUCUACACCAAGCCUUUAGGUGGCAGUACAACUAAUUCGCACAAUGCGAAUUCCACACACAAGCCACAAAGAAGCCAUCUACCGCGGUCAACAACACCGACCUAUCUGAACAGCACCACGCGCUGUCUGUGUGGUUUCACUGUUACAAGUUUCUUGGCGAUAUGGGGGAAAGUUCCUCACAUACCAACGGAAAAUGGGCUUCACAUACAUGCUGCUGUCUCAUAAUAUGGCGAAGACGAGUCACUUGAAGGCCUAACAGCUCUUAUGAGGAGCAGUCUUGCCAUAGAAGACUGAAAGAAUGUAAGAUUAACUUCUUUGUGACCAAUAUGACUUGCUCAUUGAUACAUUAGCUAUGUCAAUAUGAGAUGCAUGGCGAAGUAUUUAAUUUAUUUGUCUCUCUUCUAGGAGCUGUAGAAACAACAGGGUGCCUGCUGCAGUAUGACGAGGACGCCCUGAUCAUAGAAGGUCCAGUGUCUUGGCAGGGUGAAAUGGCACUGAUAUCGGUAUGUGGUGAUAUCAGUUAAAAUUAAUGAAUUAAUUCUCAUAUCUGAAUAAUGUGAACACUGGAUUUACCACACACUCACACACACCCUAGUCCUAGAUGAUACAACCAAGGUUACUUUUACCACAGCUCUGGCACUGCAUCAAAUUUCUUUUCUUUUUUAUAGAACUGGACAGGUCAUUUAUUCGUUCCCCUUGUUUUUUGCAGUGUCCUGCAGGAUGCUGUGUCCUGCAAUCCUGUGUGCUGUGCUACAGACGCGUGUGGAGGUCAACCCGAAAUGGGCACAGUAGAGUGAAAGAGGGUAAGCUUAACCUAUAGCCUACGUCAGGGUUGGGGAACCUUUCUCAUUCGAAUGGCCACUUCAAAUUCAUCCGAGGGGCCAUAAAAGUCCUCCAAGGGCCGUACUAUGAACACAAACCAGGAUUUUCCCUUUCACUUUAGGCCUAUAUUGAAGGCAGCCACAUUUAAACAAACGCCAACUUCAGGUUCCCUGAAUAUAACUUAAUUGUAUUGCUAAUGUAUUUUCUAAGAUUCCUUUACAAAAUAUGUCGUAUUUCAUGUGAAGAUGGAAUUGCAUUAAAAUUAUAUCGGGGGCCGGAUAAAACAGCCUCAAGGGUCGCAAACGGCCCUAGAGACAUAGGUUCCCCACCCCUGUCCUACAUUGUCAAUAUGACUUGUGCUACUUUAUAGAUAAGUUGUCAAUGCUGUGCAUUGCUAUGUUUUGAUUUAUUUUCUUACAUCCUACAGAUCCUGGCAGGGAGACGGUAGUGUCCUGCAGGAUGGUGAUGGGCAAUCUUACAAGAGACCACAGAAAACUGAUAUAGUCUCCCAGAAGUGAGACUGAGUGCCUGUUGCAGUAUGACGAGGAAGCAGUGACCAGAGACCUUCAGUAGACCCUGCUGGCAUGAUUGGCGGCUGAAGAACAUAAUCAACAGCAAUGUUUACUUUAUAAUAUUGUACAUACCUGUAUAGUCUGCACUAAAAUGCUGUACCUGUACUAUUUUUCCUCUUACUUUCAUAUUUACCACGUAUUUACUAUGAAUUGACAACUUUUACUCAAAUCCAUUUUUGUAUGUGCCCUGACUAAAACUAUCUUUAAACCUAACCUGUCAGAGGUGUAAUAACAACCUGGUCUUAGCAAUGUGGCAGCAGUCUACUUGGAUGCAGCGGGGAACAUAGAACCCUUUUUUUUGAAAAAGCAUUGUAUGUUUCUGAGUUUUAUGAAUUGUGCCCUUCCCAAACCUAACCUGUCGUAGGGGCCUAUGAAAUCCGUUUUAUUUUUCCUCAUUCAGUUUUUUUCUGAUUUAUUUU